GAUGAGGUUGUGGUCUGAGAGAUGGUGAUGAACCAGUGGUUGUUCCAGAAAAAGGGAUAUAGUUACCACCACUGCUUCCAUAUGUCGAUGGGAAAUGUAUAUGCUGUUGUUGCUGCUUAUUAAGGCCUUGUAUGUGAACUGAGGAUCUUUCAGUUUCUUGACUAACGGCAUUAGAACUGGAUGAUGGUAAUUGAUUUGGUUGCACUACUCGAACAUCGUGUUCCUGAGGUUUUUUAGCACUAAUGUCCAUAGUCGAAUAGGUAGGCUCACUCUUCACUUGGAUACCCGAAGAAGUAUUAUGAGAAUGGUCUGGAGCAGCACUCAUACUUCUCUGAUGCAGUUGUGCUAAUGCAUGGGGAUCGUUAAACUUUGUUCCACUGGAAGUAACACUUGGCAUCCUUACAGGGUGCUGCUGUCCAGAAGAACCUGUGUUGGCUUUUGUCUGCAAGAAAAAAGGAUGGUUCUUAGCAUAACGUUGAAAUCGAAAUUCAACCACCUUGAGAUAAAACAUAUGAAAGACUGCAUAACCAUCUACUCUACCUACCUGUUGUUGCACUUUUGUUAAUGCUAUUCUAAGCAUCUGAUCCCCCACGAUCCCUUUCAUAAGCCGUACAAAAUUAUCUUUAGGUAUUUCAUCUCUCUGGAACAAAUGACAAAACAAAAGACUUAGUAAUAUGAAAAAGCAUUACACAACAAACUUUAAUUGUUUAGCAUAGAAGAGAGGGGGAAAGGACAUGAUAGUGAAACUGGUUCGAGAAUCCCACCUUCAAUUUGUUAAAUAAAGUUUGAAGUUGCAUGGCUCUGUCUUUGGCAAGUUGGGGAAUCAAAAUAGGGAGCAACAAGCCAAACGGUACCUGUUUACUACGAUUGACUUGGCUACUAGGUUGUUCAUUGACCGUGGCCUGUUGAUUACUCAUCUGCUGUAGCUUUGCAUACUGAGAUUCACAGUUGGGAUUACUUGUUUUGAUUGCCUCAUGGUUGAAGAUAGGAUCUUUUUCAGAUUUCAGAACUUCAUUUGUUUGAGGAUGUUGGUGGGAAACUUGUACAGUCUGGCGUUGGAGAAAUUCAUCUUGAGAUUUUUUGUGUGAUAAAGUAAGAUUACUUGCAUCCUGUGAGGCAACAUUCUGUAUUUGUUCCACGAUAGGUCCUUCUUGCUUCAGCACCAUUUCAGAGGAAGGUUGCUCUUGCAGCUGUGCAAUUUUAGGCUCCUGAUUUUGACAGUCAAUCUGGUUGUCAUGGCUAGAAGUUGGCCAAGUUGAUAAUGAUUGACUGAAUGAAUUAUUGCUUCCUUCAGAAAAAAAAUGAAGCAAUCAUCAAAGCACUGUGUGAAAGUGAUCAAAAUUUUAUCAAGCAAACAGAAAAAUAAGAAUCAACAGUCAAUAUAACAUUUCUAUACUCCGGUCCAGAUAUUCUGAUUAUCUAUUAAUACUGGACUCUUUUCUUUUUUUUUGACAAAAUUAAUACUGGACUCUUACAUAAUGAACAAUCGGAUACAAAAGUGCAAAUUCUUCUUUUUAAACAGUAAAUGAAAAUUAGAAGAAAAAUGUGAUAAAGACUGAGACAAAAGAUGACAAAUCAGGCCCCUGUCUGUUUAAAUUAGCAAACAUGAAAAUGACAUUUUAGAAGAUAAUAUGACAAGAAUCUUAACGAGAGUUACUACUUAAAAUAGUCAACAAAAGGACAAGGAAUCAACCGUGCAGAUAUUUUUUUGAAGAAAGAAGCACUAGCGGUGAUUGAUAGAUUGAUAUUGAAAUGAGAAUUCAUCAAGUAUUUUAAGCUGGGGGACAGAUAUGUGAAACCCAUUUCUGCAAUCAUAUCUUGAUUCAUACAGAUCCAAACACAGUCGAUACAGAUCAAACUGUAAAUCUCUUUUGGACUUGGAAUGGAGCAUGAAUCUCAAUUUGCUCUUUUUUUUUUUUUAAAUGGCACAUGUUGGCAAUCAAUUGUUAGCAACGUUAUUGGGAGGGAGUUAAACUCACAACCCUUUAUCUCUCAAACCCUUAUGAUCCUCCCCAGACCCGCAGACCACCUCAUCACUCCUACAAAUUUUAAUCAUGUAUUGUUUUGAAAUUCAUAAUGAUAUAUCAGUUUUCAUUUUGUUUGCUUAUUCACUUUUUUUUAUUUACAAAUGCCAUAUUUUUACUGGCGUGUGUAUUUCUAUUUUCUACCAAUUUUAAUGCAAAAAGGAAAAAGGACGGAAGCUAACUAAUUCGUAAGAAUUAUAACGUAAAUUGAUGGAUACCUGCAUCUGAAUCAGAAAGCUGAGAAUUAGAAGCAUCUCCACCUAUGUCUCUAUUCAAUGCAGCUUGGAACGCUUCCACAUCUGCCCCUGAAUGCAUAGUUUCGUCCUGUGGACAUCAAAACACAGUGAUGGUACAAGUUAAGCCCCAAUUCAAAGUCAGCAGAUGUUUUCUGGAAAGUAUAUAGUAGAGAGGAGAAAACCUCAUCAUCUUCAAGAAGCUUCACUAUAGAUGGGUCCAUAGCAGCGCGCCGUUUUCUUUGUUGCUCUUUUAUACCAACCGCAAUUCAGAUAUUUUCUUUACGCAAGCUCAUAAAAGAAGCAGCUGAAAAUGGUGCCAUCAACAUAUGUAUUAGGUUAUAUGCAUAAAAAAUUCAGGAUUAUUUGAUUAUUUGUUUUACUAACACAUUUAGAACCACAGGGUUAAGAGAAUUCAAUUCAUUUCCCAACAAAGAUGAGGGGAUUCAUACAAAAUUAUUCAAGACGUAGUCAAAAUUAUUCAUAAUUUGACUCGAACUUUGCACUUUGCAUUUGAGUAAUUAUUCAUAAAUUCACAAAAGACACUUUUUCACUCUUCUAUUGUUAUUCACAUACUUUUCACAAUUACCCAAUUAAAUUAAAUUGAAUUAAAUAAAAGCACAUUACAAACAAAGAGGAAGAAGGUACAAAACAACACCUAAAAAUCAAAGAAGCGGUGCUAUUUUUUCUGUCUCAGGGAGGAAGGAAAUACAGUUUUCAGUUUGAAGUCUUAGCAAAAUAAUCUAAAGCACAUAUGAUUAUGCUGCACCUUUAGGUGGCAACCAGAUAGAAUUUCAAACUUGUUUAGAUAACUCCAAGCACUAACAGUCAAAACUGACUCACUACUUUAGAAAUUGCACCUUUCUAAAUUUUAUAAUUUGACGUUCUAACUUUGAGAUGAUAUGCAAGGGUGGUGUUAUUUCCUUCAUAACCACAUUAUCCGUGUACCCUCCGUUUAACAAGCCAAAAACUAGAGCAGUGUAUGUUACAAUAUCUGGUUCUAGUCGUAGGUCAAUCAUUUCAUUAAAGAAUGUAAUUGCGUUUUGAAAGUUAUAAAUCUUUAGGUGCCCAUCAAUCAUAACAGUGUAAGUAACAACAUCUGGACUAAUUCCCAUUUGCUUCAUGUCUCCCCAGAUAGUCAAAAUAUUGUACAUUGCAUCCUUUCCUUUUCUGUGUCGAGAAUAGAAAUGUUUUAGUCCCACAUCGAGUAGAACUGUGUAUGUAACGACAUCAGGUUUGAUCCCUCUGAUCUCCAUAUCUUGGAAGAGGUCAUGAGCCUCUUGCAAGCAAUUCAUUUCACAAUAACUUUUUAUCAUAAUUGUGUAAGUUACAACGUCAGGCGUAAAUCCUUUCUCAACGAAAAAAUCAAACAAAGAGCGAGCAUGUUUCAUAUUCUCUGCUUGGCACAAUGCAGUUAAUACUUUAGAAUACAUUACUUUGCUAAGUUGCUUAAAACCAGAACUUUCUUUUGCAAUAUCUCCUCGGUUUGAAAUCUCACAGAAAAUUUCAUAUGAUUUUUCAAUAAGGCCAGCCUGACAAUAGCCAUUAACCAUGGCAGUAUAGAUUUCGACACCUUCAUCUUUCCGACAGUUAAAAUAUGCCUCAGCAUCUUCAACCAUGCCCGCUGAACACAAACCUUCAAUGGUAAUCUUAUGUGUAAUGGAGUUUGGCUUCACACCUUGACUAUCCAUAUAACUCAAAAGGUCAACUGCUUCACGAUCACGGCGAUUUCUAAACAAACCGGCAACUAGUACAUUAUAAGCAACACCAUCAGGUUUAAAUCCAUUUUCCUCCAUUUCUUUGAAAACACUAUAGGCUACAUCGGUUUUACCUUGAAGACAGUAACCACUAAUAAAGGUUGUGUAGUGUUUGAUAUCUACAUCGAUAUGCGUGGAUUUCAACUCCUCCAACAUACCUACUGCUACAUCCACCUUACCCAAUUUACACAAAGAAUUAAAAACAAUGUUGUAUGCUACCCCAUCAAGAAACACACCCAACCGCUUUAAUUCUUUAAAUGCAUCUACAACUUCUGAAUACAUACCAAUCUCUCCCGAGCAAUGAAGGAUACAACUAGCAAUCACACAAGUUGUCUUUAUACCCUUCGAAAUCAUGUCCUCGUGUAAUUUGAAAGCUUUACCCAAAUCAUUGCUCUUACAGUAUCCACGGAUCAACGAAGAAUAAACAUGCGAAUCAGGAACAAGUCCCUUCCAUUUCAUGUCAUAAAACACAUCCUCGGCUUUAUCUAAUUUCAUUUCAUUACAAAACCCGCGAAUAACUGCGGCAUAGGCAUAAACCUCAAUAGGAGCGUUCAUCUUUCUAUGAUAUUGGAGCACUUCAUAUCCCAAAUCAGACAUAUGAUUAUUACACAGCCCCUCAAUAUAAGCUUUGUAACAAUACGAAUUGGGAGUCACACCAGCAUCCAUCAUUUCAUCAAACACACGAACAACGUAUUUCAAACAAUCAACCUUCUUACACAAUGCCUUGAUAAUAAUGCCAUAAGUGUGAUGAUUAGGACACAAACCAAGCCUCUUAAUUCGACCAUAAACGUCCAAAGCCAUAUCAAUUUUAUCAUAAUUAACCAAACGGUUAAUAAGAAAAUUACAAGCAAACAUAGUUGGAAAAAUCCUAAACCUCUCAAUUUGAAAUUGAAACAAGAACUCAACACUUUCAUCAAACAUGUUAAGACCAACAUAAGCUUUAACAACCCCAUCAAAAGCUCUAACAAAGUAACAAUUUUUAUUAUCAAAAUCAACACUCUCUACUAGUUUCUCAAACAAUUCAUGAACUUCAAAUAAUGGGUUUUGUUGGGAACAACGAGAAAUUAUAUCGCGAAGAAGAGAAUCCAAACUUGUAUUCAAAUUCCAAUAACAUAGUAUUCUAAUGAAAGAAGCAUAGGUUUGAAUAUUGUGUGUGAAACCAUGUUGGUUAAGUUGAGUAAAGUAAGAGAGUGCAAGUGAAGGGUUGUUACGAUAAAGGUAGAGUCAUUGGAGGACUUUGAAGGUGUUAGGAUCAAAAGAUGAGAAAUUUUGAGGUUUAGUGAAAUGGGUUUGUGAGGAAGAAAGUGCAAGAGAAGUGGAAGAAGAAAAAGUGAAUUUUUUGUUGCAGUGAAUGGUUUUGGUUUUGGUUUUGGAGAAUGAGUUUUUGAAGAGAGGAAGAAUAAUGAAAGAAGGUAAAUGCAAGAGACGACACAACAUACCAGUGGUGUUGCGUGCGGCUGAGUUUCGGCGAGGCUACGGCGGCGAGGAACAAAACAUUCAGAGUUCGGGCGACGGUAACAAAACACAAAAUUGAUUACCAACCAACAACAAAUUCAACAAUCUAAUGAGAAUAACGAUAAUGCAACGCAAAUCGAACACAUGGCGAAGAUUAGAUGGCAAAAUUAUCAGGAACAAGCAAAUUGAAGACAGGGUGAUACUAGGAACAAAGAGCAAACAUCAAAACAUAAAACAGAAACAAAAUCGAACCUGGGUUGUUGCAGAGCAGAGGGUGAUUCGUGUUUCUAAUGGAAAAAACGCUUUCGUGAGCUCUCUUAUAAAUAUAUUUUCUUCAAAAAUUGAUUUAUUUUACUAACAAAAAAGAUGUAUUUAUUUUAUGGGUAUAGGUAUAUUUGUACAGUAUUUUAUUUUGACAGUAUUCAGCGAUCAAGAUUUCCUGACUUUAGAGCACCAAGGCAUGGUGUCCUUGCCUCAACACUGUCGGUCAGAUAAAUCACACAAUCCAAAACAUGUCACGUGUCCCUUUUUUCAUUUCAUUUAAAUAAGAUCUAAUUGCCCUUUUAAUCCUCUUAUUUUAUUAUUAUUGUGAAAUUAGUCUCUUUAUUUCAAAAAUAAAAAUCUUAGCGUCUCAGUCCCUAUGAGUUUAGAUCAGUUGGUAGGGACAUCGAACUAUAUGUGCAGAACCCGGAUUCGAACCCGGGACACUCCACUUAUUCAUCUUUAAGGUAUAUUUUCUAGCCACUAANNNNNNNNNNNNNNNNNNNNAAAAAAAAAAUAGUGUCUCAAUUUUGACAUUUAUUGCAGUUUUGCACCCCACUAGGCCUCCACUGUCCCGAUUCAUAUCAAUUGUAUGUCCACCUAUUAUAUUGGAUGGUAAAUUUAAUCCCUUAUUAUUUUCUUUAUAAACGGCGUGCAACUGCAUAAACUAAUCCCCUCGAAGUACUGAGAUCGAUUUAAGGGAUCCAAGUAUCUAUCACUUGUGUCACAUUAUAUUGGUAAUCCCUUAUUUAUUUAUUUUUAGUUGUCAUUAUAUUGUAUUUCACCAUCAUUUUUAAUUAUCAUGAUAAUGAUAGUACAAUUUUUUCUAUGCAACCCCAGAUGUUUUGUCAGAUUGACAUAUAUCUCUCAAUAGUUUGAUCGAUUUUGAAUGUGUGUCGGUUGUUUCUUUAAUUUUGCAGCCUCAUGUGCCUUACUUUUUCAAUAUGCUUUAUGAGUGCUUGAGUUCUAUGGCUUGAGUUCAAAGUUUCGAUAAUGUUCUUCUCUCUUAAGACAGAUUAUCUCGCCUGUUGAUUGUCUUUUGGUUUCAUAUUCAAACGAUACCAAAGCGACUAUAAUAGUAGUAUUAUGUGUGCAGUUCUUUAUCGAAAAUUUAAGCAAGGUUUUUCAGUCUGAGAUUUGAGAUUAGUGGAUGUUUCACCUACGAGGUUUUUCAACCAUAUUGCAUCAUUUCGAAAUCUAGGUUCAGAAGCUAAUUCCAUUCUGGUUUCUGCUAGGAUCAAAUUUAGGGGCAUUUUUUAUUUUUGGGGGGGCUGAGAGCAAUACAUGGGGCCUAAAGAGCAAUUUUCUACUAGGUAGCGAGGAAGCUUGAAUUGGGCUUUAAAAGUCGUAUUUCCUUUUAUUCAACAAGCCCAUUAAUGAAUAUAUUUAGAGAAUUUAUUUUGGCACCCACUAAGUUUUUUUGCACGUCCAUAAAAUUACAAAAAUAUCCCUUAUGCUACUUAAUUAGUGGAUGUGUAAAAUAUUGAAAUCUUGUUAGUUGUUACGGGUGUUUUUUUUUUUUCUUCUCAAAUUUCCCAUUUUUAUAAUGUUCGUUAUUUGGCAAACAUUUAAAAUAGAUCCAAAAUAAUAGUUUUUAAAUCCAAAAUAAUAGUUUUUUUUUGUUAUUUUAAAACGUAAGAUCCAAACACUGGGUUAUAUGAUGUUAGGUUUGGGUAUGGGCUCUUAUCGAGCCGCUUUAUUUCAUUUGAUUAGUCAUGCUUAUUCAAAAGCAUUGUUGUUUUUAGGAUCUGGAUCCAUUAUUCACUCAAUGGAAGCUAUUGUUGGAUAUUCUCCAGAUAAAAGUCAAAAUAUGGUUCUUAUGGGUGGUUUAAGAAAACAUGCGCAUAAAACAAGUUUUUUUCUCCUUGCGAACCCUGAACCUCCAACUCCUUUAACCCUUAAUUCAACUAACUUAACCAAUUGAGCUACUCAUCUCACCCGCCUUUAGUUGAUUAACCAACAUCAAGCAACUAUCAUAACUAAGUUUUAUCGUCCCAAUAAUUAAAAAUAUGGCAUACACAUUCAUGAUUUCCAUAAACCAAUCACUAAUGAUGUAAAGGAUUUUCAUAUCUCGCUUGAGCUUAACUUUAAAGGCUACAUUUCAUAACAUGAAUAACAGAUGAAUUAUAAUUCAUCAAUCAGUCCAACACAUACAUGAUUAAUAAUCAAACACAAGAAUAAAAAAAAUGAGGGGCUGUAUGACUGCAUUGUAGUCAAUCAUCAUAUCUUCUCUUUGAUCUUGAUCAAAUUGUCCAAACUUAAACUCAACUUUUAAAUUUUAAAACAGCUAAAAUUGCAACUUCGAAGUUGCAAUUGCUUUUUUAUUUUUUAUGUCGGUUGGAGUUCCCAAGGUCGUCUAUUUAAUGACGAGAGACGAUGAGGAAUCUUGGACUGAUUUAUACCAUCGAUUUUACGAAGAAAGACUUUUAUUUUUAGGUGAGACCUUAAACUGGACCUAAAAAAUUCCAACCAGUUUAAUCUAGUUCAUAUGCGCUAACUGCAUUGAAUUUAUAUCCUCAUUUCAACAUAUUAGACACAUUCUGUUUUAUUUACCAAUUGUUUUUUUCUUUCACCACGAGUUUAAUCUGAUUCGGGGAUCAGUUCUGACAUCAAGUGGUUUUAGCCCCUCCUGAUCGCAAUUGCGAGGAAUCGAACCAUGAUCCUCCCUAUUAAGUUUAACGCUAAUCAUCACUAAACAAAGUAACUAUUGAUGUUUUAUUUACCAAUUUUAAUGUUACAUACCGCGUGCAAUUGGUAUUUGGCAAUAGGUAAGAAUUGAAUAUGCAAUAAAGAAGACCACUACGGAUUGAACUCUUGAGCUGGAGAUAAACAUGGUAAAUUAUAGACACGUACACGGCAUUAUUACAUCAAACCGAAAUUUACAAUGCGCGCAUAUGGUAAAUAAUGGCAUGAAAAUUCAAUUCAAUUGUGGUAUCUCACAUACACACCUGUAAAGGAAGCUUCCAUUCAUCUUUGAUUCAUGCACAUGUAAGUUAGUAUAGUUAAACGUAUGGAACCAAAAUUUCGGCCUUAAACAUUCCUAUAGCCUAAUUAGGAAUAUUCAUUUCAAUGACGCGUCACAAGACUAACCAAAUACUGUACACAAUAGGAAAAUUUUAUUCUAUUGAAAAAUCAUUAUUAUAGGAUGAGUAAAUAGCACGUGUCUUUAUCAUCCCAGCUUCAACAAAGGUCAAAACCAAUUCAUCGUCCUUAAUCCUUAUCCACAUACCAAACACGACACAUCCAUCCUGUGUUUCACCCAUCUCAUCCACUCAGUUACUUAGUUCCAUCGUUUAACCACUCACAUUACUCGCAAUCUUAAUUGCUAGUAAGACACAACACAAGAUAAGAUACCAUUAACUCUGCCAACAGUAAAAACCGUCACACGCUUUCAAGAAAGAAUCAAACAAACACGUGGCAUUAAUUGAAUUAAUUAAUUAUUUCGGUGCCGAUCACGCGGUUCUGCUGUUCUGUUUCAGAAUCGUUCUAAAUUACUAUCAAAGACAUCAAUGAAAUUGAAAUCAUAUACUACAAACAUAAAAAUCGAUAAAUUUCCAUAAAUUAAAUAAAAAUAAUUAAUCAAUUGAAUUUGAAUUGAAUUGAAUUGUCUAAGUACACAAUCUUCUAAAUUCUAAAACCAAUCCCAAUUUGUAUAUACAGAACAAAUUGAUCCCAAAUAAUCGAAAAAUAAAUUAAAAUAACUAUGAUAAUAAUAAACUUAGAUAGAUCUAUAUUGAUCACAAAAUCACAAUGAUCAAUAUUGAGGAAUUUCAAUCUUGAAAAGACAUGGCUUCUUAGCUGCAGGAUGAGGACUGGAAACCUCAUCAUCCACGAAAAACUUCUUUGAAAAGUCCGGAAAAGCCGGGAGGUUAAGAUCAAAAUCACGGUGUUGACUGUGAGAAGAUCCAACUUCAGAAGCAGUUACGGUGCUGUUUCCACCACCGGCACCGGCACCGGCACCACCUUCAUAGUGACAACGCUUGUGUCCUCCCAAAGCUUGUCCAGUAGGAAAGGAUUUAUGACAAAUGGAACAUUCAUGAGACUUGAUCUUACCGUUGGAUGCAGCAGAGCUUGUAGUCACAGCGGAUGAGGUUGUUGUAGUCUGAUGAUCUUCACCAGUUGACAUAACAGCACUUUUCCGAUGACUGGCUUUGUGUCCACCAAGUGCUUGAUAAGAUGAAAAAGCUUUGUUGCAAACAGAGCAUUUGUGACUGAGUUUAGCGGGUGCUGAUUCGGUGUCAGAUAGAGCAGGUUUGACGGCGGUGGGAAGAGUAAUAAUCUUGUUGUUGUUGUUGUUGUUUCCGCUGCGAGCGAGCAUGAUGAGACAGAGAGCGAGAUACUCUUCCUCAGUACAAGAAGAUUGAUCCAUACGAGAACGUUUAGAACGUUUACCUUUAGUCCAAGGUGCAGCAUCGAUGUAACCGUGAUUUGGUUCCUCGAAAGGAGUGAAAGGAGUAGCGGUGGUGGGAGAGUUAAGCGCUUCCAUAGCCAUAAGAAAGAUUAUGAAACAGACAGAAUAUUCAAGAGUUGGUUAGCGUUACGCAAAUGAAAGUAGAAAAGGUUUAAGUUGUUGAGAGAGAGAGAGAAGUGAUUAUGAUUAAUUUUUUUGGAGUGUGAUAGUGAAGAAUAGGUGAGGUGUGGUUGGGUUUAUAUACAAUGAGGAGAGUGAAGAGGUGAGGAUUGUAGUGGAAGUUACUUGACAGGUGCAGAGAAAGUAGGCGCAAAUAGAAAAUAAGUUAAUUGAGUAGAUUAUUACAUGUGGAGAAGCUUGGUGCACGUGUUUUACAAUAGUUUUCAAAGGUGGCCAGUAGUAGUAGUAGUGGACCUUCUCAUCAGUCAAAUAAAGUGUUGUUGUACCGACUGCAGUUUUUUUUUUUUAAAAGCGAGUAAGAUUAGAUAGAGAUAGAACAAGUGACUUGUACAAGAUGUCAAGAUGUAAGACUUUUCAACCUCUCUCUGAAGUCUUAAGUAUGUGGUUGUGUUGUAGGUUUAAUUUUUAACCAUAAAGUAAGUUUCACGUCGGUUGUGACCGUAAAGUAAAGACAAUUUUUAUUUCACUAUCCAAUUUUGUAAGAAUGAUUUAGGCUCAACUCAAUUCUAAGAUUGAUAAUUGUCUAUAAACAAUGGAUGUAUCUGAUAAUUAGGAACAAACAUGCCGUUAUGGAGUUUGUGGUCGAACGGUUUAAAAAAAUAUAAACUUAAUUUUUAUUUAAUAANNNNNNNNNNNNNNNNNNNNNNNNNNNNNNNNNNNNNNNNNNNNNNNNNNNNNNNNNNNNNNNNNNNNNNNNNNNNNNNNNNNNNNNNNNNNNNNNNNNNNNNNNNNNNNNNNNNNNNNNNNNNNNNNNNNNNNNNNNNNNNNNNNNNNNNNNNNNNNNNNNNNNNNNNNNNNNNNNNNNNNNNNNNNNNNNNNNNNNNNNNNNNNNNNNNNNNNNNNNNNNNNNNNNNNNNNNNNNNNNNNNNNNNNNNNNNNNNNNNNNNNNNNNNNNNNNNNNNNNNNNNNNNNNNNNNNNNNNNNNNNNNNNNNNNNNNNNNNNNNNNNNNNNNNNNNNNNNNNNNNNNNNNNNNNNNNNNNNNNNNNNNNNNNNNNNNNNNNNNNNNNNNNNNNNNNNNNNNNNNNNAGAUUGAUAAUUGUCUAUAAAUAAUGGAUGUAUCUGAUAAUUAGGAACAAACAUGCCGUUAUAGAGUUUGUGGUCGAACGGUUUAAAAAAAUAUAAACUUAAUUUUUAUUUAAUAAUUUUAUAAAUACUGUUUUUAAAUCAAUAGUACCAAACCCACUUGGGUUGGUACAUUGGUAUUGGCUUGGGACCUGAGAGUGUGCUCCUCUUGAGAUCUGAGGUUCGAUUCUCUCUGGCGCCAAUUUGGGUAGGCUAAUUUAACUUUUUCAAAAAAAAAAUCAAUAGUAUCAUUUAAUUUGAUCAGACAGUCACUAAUAUUAGAUUGUGUGGCUAUAUAUUUUUUUACUGCACCUAAAUCAGAUCCCAUGUAAUAUAGCUAUCGUAAAAUGAAGAUAAUAUGAACAAGUCUUUUUUAUCUUAGCUAAAAUUUGGUAUUUGAAUUUUAAUUUUUACAAGCAAAAAUGUUAAAAGUUUCAGGAAAAUUUGUGUUUGCAAUUUGGCAUAUACUAGUAUAGUAUAAUAUAGAGAUAGUAAGGAAGACUGACUCUACAUUCAAAAGUCAAAAUGAGGGAAAAGUAUAAUAACAAUUUUUCUUUUAUUGUUUUUAAUUGAGAUUAAAUGUGAUUAAGGAAGUUGGUCCGAAACAAUGUUUGUCAACAGCCACCGGUAGGACAGUGGGAACUAGCCACCAACGACUUUUCUUAGUCAAUGUCACAGUAGCCGACUUUAAAUAACUUUGUAUACAUAGCACUGUUUCCAUUUUACAACUUGGUAAGUGAGUCUUUGAGUUUGAUUAAUUCAUCAUCUAUGGUUCGGUGUAUAUGCAAUAUUAAUAUGGAUGCAAAUGGCAUUCAAAUUAUGAAUAAUUAAUAUUAUAUUAAAAUUUGAGAACAAAUUGGGGCACUGCAUGCCGUUUGUCACGGUGAGAGGAGAGUAAGAUAACCGGCCAGAUCACAUGAAGGAUUUUUGCUAAAUAAGCGUCAGCAACAGCAUGUGGAGGGAGGGUCUGUUUGUUAUUAUGUAACCUAACCUCUCUCAAUUGAUUAUAACUAUUGCCUGUUUGGUGUCUUACCAUAAAAUGAAUACUUAAGGUUAGAGCUUGCUAGAAACUAAUAACACUAAACAUGUAGAACCUAAUUUGCCGUAUUGAAUAAGAUUGUUUGGCAAAUUGAUUAUAUUUUGAAUCGGCUAAAAGCCCAACAUACGAGAAGGUCCAUCCAAAUGAGAUAAAAAUAAACAUGUGGCAACGCGACCAUGACAAACAUACAAACGAGCACAGAUUAAAGGUGAACUGCCUAAACCGUCCUCAAGUGCUUGUACGGAAGGACAAUACAUGUGUUAUCUGUGGCUGAUCCACUACACAUGGGGGACCUCACAGUACUGUAAACUCUAAUAUCCUCUCGUAUAUAAACACUCAUACAUCAAUUCCUAGGUAUGACAUUUUGCGCCUCCAGUUACACUCUUUAAAUCUCUUUCAUAUACUGACUUGAGCGUCGGAGUGCUACCAUGACUGCAGGUACCCUUCCCUCCAACGCUUCAAUGCCGAAAUCGUCAAACUCUCACGACCAUCAUCAACACUCUACCAUCAGUUGAGAUGUCGCUGUUCAAAAGUUGACCCAUUCAGCUCAAUCCAUUUCUGAAACCUAGUUCAGAUUAUAUCAGCACAACAUGAACGUAAUUAUCUCGUUUAUCUUUAUUUUAAAAAUUAAAAUUAUCUCGUCCUGUGAGCCCAACUCAGUUGGCAUGGAUAUUGCACCAUACAUAUCCGGGAAUUUAAACUCUUAACACUCGACUUAUUCAUCUUUCUAACCACUAGAAGAAAAAAAAAUUACCUCAACAUUUUCACACUUAUUUUCUUUCUCCUAAAAAAACUUUUUUUAAAAAAAAAAAUACUCUUAACAAACUGAUGCAAUGCUCUUAAAAAUUAUUAUUAUUUAAAAAAAAAUGAUUUAUUUUUUCUUCUAGAAAAACCCUGAAGUGAAGCUUCAAGGUGGAAUUGGGGAAGGUUCAAGUGACAGUAAAUUUUGGGUGGAAUGAGAUUUUCUAUGUUGAUUUUUGACUUUACUAUAAUUGGAAAUUUAACCAAUGGAUAAGGUUAAGAACAUGCAACCACGAAGUUUGUUUCCUUUUGAAUUCUUUCAGUUCACUUAUGUGGAAAAUUUUCAAAACAAAAAAAGUCUAGAAACCAGUAAUGCUAUUGGAUUUUGGAAAGCUAACCAGGCAAAGAUUGUUAAAGAAAAAUGAGCCAAACAUUCAGUUUCACAUGUGCACUUGUCGAAUCAUUUUUAUACCGUGUUCAUAGUCAAAUUUAUGGUAUUGAGACAUCUAUUGUAUGAUAGUUUUUUUUAUUUUUUUUUUUUAAACAAACUGGAGAUUGAACCCAGGAUCUAUAACGUACUACUCAAACUUCUUACCACUAGAUCAAACCUAGUGACUUGUAUUUUAUGAUACUAUUUUUGGAUUUGAAUUCUCUUAUGUCUUUUCUUUUAUGAUAGCUGUUUAUGUUGAUUCGAAAUUAACAUCAAUUUCAAAGAAUUGUCUAUUACAUCUACGUCUACUUCGUUGGAUAGAUAUGAUAUUCAUGAUUGUGUUGGGCCAAAAUGGGUAUUCAUCCAAGAAGUUCAAUAUCGAGUAGUUGGAAGAAAAAUAGAAGUAGAAAGUUAUUAUAAAUAUGGAGAGUUAUAUUGAGUUUUGUUCACCACAACAACUCUAUUCUUAUAGAAUUAUUGUAGUUGUGAGUCAUGGGAGGACGGUUUGCAAAUUUUCCAUGCAAAAAUUAAAGUUGAGAUGGUUUGCAAUUUUAGUGCGUGUAAAAAAUUGCAAUUGUGUGUGAGAGUUUUAUAGGUUGCAAUUUCACCUUGUCAAAAUUGCAAAUUUAGUUUUAUAUUAUUGCAGAUUUGGUAGUAAAAUAUUAUUGUGAGUUGAUUUUGUUUGGUUUUAUUUAUUGGUUGAAUAUUCUAUUUGUUUUUAUUUAUUGCGUGGAGAUUUUUUUUUUUUUUUGAAUGUUUUCCCAACAGUUUGCUCCGUAUUCGUGUGGCCGUGUGGGUAUUCGCUUAGCGGAUAAUCCAUGGAUUUUGAUAUAUCCGCAAAUAUUUAUGGAUAUUCAUGGAUGAAAUGAAAAAUUAAGAUUUUUUUAUUGUAAGUGAAAAGUUGUAAGAAGAUGAUGAAAUUUUUUACCUCAAAAGAUGAAAAAAUAAAGUAAAAAAAUUUCUCAAUUAAAUAUGGAGAAAAAACACAAAAAUACAAGAAGAACUUUUUUUAUACAAUAAAAAUACUAGAGUUUAUAUUUAAAUAGGAACAUUUACGUAAUUUUACUAAUUUAUUAGUGGGUAUGGAUAUCUGUGGGCACAAAUAGUAUUAACCCGCAUCUGUAUUCAUUAUAUACGAAUAAUUGAAAUAUCCAUUUAUUUUAUCCGGUCAUAUCCUAUAAACCCGUGGCGAAUUUUAUCCGUACGUGGAUAUCCAUGGGUACGAAUUUUUUUGUCAUCCCUAUUCAUAGACUAUAAUAAAAUUUUACAUAAUCAAUUCAUUACAAAUCUUUUUUUCUUCGUAGAACCAAACAUAGACCAUAUAACAAAUUUCAUCAAAGUAAAAAAAAAAUUCAAGCAAAUUAGUACCAUUUUACUUAUCAAAUGUGUAAUUUGCUGUCACAUUAGUUUCUCAAUGUAUCAAAAUUUGGGCUGAGAAUGGACCCGCGACCCGACGCGAAAUCGGCAUAACAACCAACAUUUGGAAGCACUCGGUCGGGUGUGGGUCUGGUCUCGAGUCAAUAAUUGUAAAAUAUCAGUCAUGGAUGCUUAUAUACAGACGGGUGUGAGUCUCUAAAAAUUCAUCUUUUCAUAAUCGAAACCAACCAAAGAAUUACUACUAAAAUGCAAUUUUUUUCUUCCGGUUUCGAGCACAUCCUCCCUCUCUCUCUCUCUCUCUCUCAAUCUCUUAUAUUCUUCCCUUUAUUAUGUUUAGCUAUCUUUGAUAGAGAUGAAUGUUAUAUUUUAGAAGCUUAACUUGUAAAUAUGUUGAUAAAGAAUAUGUGAAAGAUAAUAUUAUAGAUUUAUCUUAAUUUAUACUUCUCAUCUACUUAAUCUAUUAUUGUAACAAGGUAACUACAUCUUUUCCUUUUUGUUGUAUCAUAUUGUAUGUUGUAUUGUGUACGAAAUAUUGAACAUUUGAAGAAUAUGAAUUUUUUGAUCAACGAAAUUUUAGAUGAAACAACAAAGUUUCAAGUUAACCCGUUAAAACCGACCCGUUAUAUUUGUCACUAGAAUGACUCGACACCAGAACAAACUGAAGAUAUAGAUGAUCGAACUUGGGUUUGAAUUAAGAGGUUGUGGUUUU
rnacentral:lncRNA from 1 species